rnacentral:rRNA from 1 species
CUCGCUAUUGGAGCGGCCGAUAUCAGAUUAGCUAGUUGGUGGGGUAAAGGCCUACCAAGGCAACGAUCUGUAGUUGGUCUGAGAGGACGACCAGCCACACUGGGACUGAGACACGGCCCAGACUCCUACGGGAGGCAGCAGUGGGGAAUUUUGGACAAUGGGCGCAAGCCUGAUCCAGCAAUGCCGCGUGCAGGAAGAAGGCCUUCGGGUUGUAAACUGCUUUUGUCAGGGAAGAAAUCCUCUAGGUUAAUACCCUUGGGGGGAUGACGGUACCUGAAGAAUAAGCACCGGCUAACUACGUGCCAGCAGCCGCGGUAAUACGUAGGGUGCAAGCGUUAAUCGGAAUUACUGGGUGCGUAGGUGGCAGGCUAAGUCGGGUGUGAAAUCUCCGGGCUCAACCCGGAGGGUGCGCUCGAAACUGGUUUGCUAGAGGAUGGGAGGGGAGACUGGAAUUCUCGGUGUAGCAGUGAAAAUGCGUAGAUAUCGAGAGGAACACCGGUGGCGAAGGCGAGUCUCUGGACCAUUCCUGAC